rnacentral:rRNA from 1 species
AGUGGGGGAUAACGUAGCGAAAGUUACGCUAAUACCGCAUAUGCCCUGAGGGGGAAAGGAGGGGAUCGUAAGACCUUUCGCUUUCGGAGUGGCCGAUAUCAGAUUAGCUAGUUGGUGAGGUAAAGGCUCACCAAGGCGACGAUCUGUAGCGGGUCUGAGAGGAUGAUCCGCCACACUGGGACUGAGACACGGCCCAGACUCCUACGGGAGGCAGCAGUGGGGAAUUUUGGACAAUGGGCGCAAGCCUGAUCCAGCCAUGCCGCGUGAGUGAAGAAGGCCUUCGGGUUGUAAAGCUCUUUCAGUCGGAAAGAAAUCAUGCUUACUAAUACUAAGUGUGGAUGACGGUACCGGAAGAAGAAGCACCGGCUAACUACGUGCCAGCAGCCGCGGUAAUACGUAGGGUGCGAGCGUUAAUCGGAAUUACUGGGCGUAAAGCGUGCGCAGGCGGUUUUUUAAGACAGACGUGAAAUCCCCGGGCUUAACCUGGGAACUGCGUUUGUGACUGGAAGGCUAGAGUACGGCAGAGGGGGGUAGAAUUCCA